UACAGAGGGGGCAAGCGUUGUUCGGAAUUACUGGGCGUAAAGGGCGCGUAGGCGGCCUGUUAAGUCGAACGUGAAAUCCCCAGGCUCAACCUGGGAACUGCGUCCGAUACUGGCAGGCUUGAAUCCGGGAGAGGGAUGUGGAAUUCCAGGUGUAGCGGUGAAAUGCGUAGAUAUCUGGAGGAACACCGGUGGCGAAGGCGGCAUCCUGGACCGGUAUUGACGCUGAGGCGCGAAAGCGUGGGGAGCAAACAGG
rnacentral:rRNA from 1 species